rnacentral:rRNA from 1 species
CAAUAGCGUAUAUUAAAGUUGUUGCAGUUAAAAAGCUCGUAGUUGAAUUUCUGGUGGGCGCGCCGGUCCUCCAAGUGUUGUACUGGGCGCAGUCCGCCAUCCUUGUGGAGAGGGCUCGCAUUGAGUUGCGUGUCGGAUCUGCAUCAUUUACUGUGAAAAAAUUAGAGUGUUUAAAGCAGGCUGUCGCUUGAAUACAUUAGCAUGGAAUAAUAAGAUAGGACUUCGGUCUAUUUUGUUGGUUGCGAACCGAGGUAAUGAUUAAUAGGGAUAGUUGGGGGUAUUCAUAUUUAAUUGUCAGAGGUGAAAUUCUUGGAUUUAUGAAAGAUGAACAACUGCGAAAGCAUUUACCAAGGAUGUUUUCAUUA